rnacentral:rRNA from 1 species
GAUGAACGCUGGCGGCGUGCCUAAUACAUGCAAGUCGAGCGAACAGACGAGGAGCUUGCUCCUCUGACGUUAGCGGCGGACGGGUGAGUAACACGUGGAUAACCUACCUAUAAGACUGGGAUAACUUCGGGAAACCGGAGCUAAUACCGGAUAAUAUAUUGAACCGCAUGGUUCAAUAGUGAAAGACGGUUUUGCUGUCACUUAUAGAUGUAUCCGCGCCGCAUUAGCUAGUUGGUAAGGUAACGGCUUACCAAGGCAACGAUGCGUAGCCGACCUGAGAGGGUGAUCGGCCACACUGGAACUGAGACACGGUCCAGACUCCUACGGGAGGCAGCAGUAGGGAAUCUUCCGCAAUGGGCGAAAGCCUGACGGAGCAACGCCGCGUGAGUGAUGAAGGUCUUCGGAUCGUAAGACUCUGUUAUUAGGGAAGAACAAAUGUGUAAGUAACUAUGCACGUCUUGACGGUACCUAAUCAGAAAGCCACGGCUAACUACGUG